UAGGCUGCAACUCGACUGCACGAAGCUGGAAUCGCUAGUAAUCGCGGAUCAGCACGCCGCGGUGAAUACGUUCCCGGGCCUUGUACACACCGCCCGUCACACCAUGGAAGUCUGCAAUGCCCGAAGCCGGUGGCCUAACCACUUAUGUGGAAGGAGCCGUCUAAGGCAGGGCAGAUGACUGGGGUGAAGUCGUAACAAGGUACC
rnacentral:rRNA from 1 species